rnacentral:misc_RNA from 1 species
UAUACUGAUUUUCACACAUCAUAAUGAAAGCACCUAAGCAUAACGUGAAACCAAAGGUCCACUUUUGUCUUCCAAGACGAAGAAUUACUACGCUCCUCCCCAGGCAGUUACCCCAGGCAGUUAAAUGGGUAAAUACACUAUCAUUUUGCACUUCUACACCAUUUUAUUUCGAAAACUAAAAGAGAUGUCACUGACCUCAAAGUUCAACUUUUG